rnacentral:rRNA from 1 species
GCAAGUCGAGCGCACCCUUCGGGGCGAGCGGCGGACGGGUUAGUAACGCGUGGGAACAUACCCUUUUCUAUGGAAUAGCCUCGGGAAACUGAGAGUAAUACCAUAUACGCCCUUCGGGGGAAAGAUUUAUCGGAGAAGGAUUGGCCCGCGUCUGAUUAGAUAGUUGGUGGGGUAAUGGCCUACCAAGUCCACGAUCAGUAGCUGGUUUUAGAGGAUGAUC